rnacentral:tRNA from 1 species
UGUAAAUUGGUGUAAAGGCACAUGAAAUUUUGAUUUUCGUAGGGUUGGUGUAAUUCCAUUAUUUGCAU